GACGAUAUGCUUUGGGUAGCUGUAAGUAAGCGUUGAUCCAGAGAUUUCCGAAUGGGGGAACCCAGCAUGAGUUAUGUCAUGUUAUCGACAUGUGAAUUCAUAGCAUGUCAGAAGGCAGACCCGGAGAACUGAAACAUCUUAGUACCCGGAGGAAGAGAAAGAAAAAUCGAUUCCCUGAGUAGCGGCGAGCGAAACGGGAAGAGCCCAAACCAACAAGCUUGCUUGUUGGGGUUGUAGGACACUCUAUACGGAGUUACAAAAGAACAUGUUAGACGAAUCAUCUGGAAAGAUGAAUCAAAGAAGGUAAUAAUCCUGUAGUCGAAAACAUAUUCUCUCUUGAGUGGAUCCUGAGUACGACGGAGCACGUGAAAUUCCGUCGGAAUCUGGGAGGACCAUCUCCUAAGGCUAAAUACUCUCUAGUGACCGAUAGUGAACCAGUACCGUGAGGGAAAGGUGAAAAGUACCCCGGAAGGGGAGUGAAAGAGAACUUGAAACCGUGUGCUUACAAGUAGUCAGAGCCCGUUAAUGGGUGAUGGCGUGCCUUUUGUAGAAUGAACCGGCGAGUUACGAUCUGAUGCAAGGUUAAGCAGCAAAUGUGGAGCCGCAGCGAAAGCGAGUCUGAAUAGGGCGUUGAGUAUUUGGUCGUAGACCCGAAACCAGGUGAUCUACCCUUGGUCAGGUUGAAGUUCAGGUAACACUGAAUGGAGGACCGAACCGACUUACGUUGAAAAGUGAGCGGAUGAACUGAGGGUAGCGGAGAAAUUCCAAUCGAACUUGGAGAUAGCUGGUUCUCUCCGAAAUAGCUUUAGGGCUAGCCUCAAGUGAUGAUUAUUGGAGGUAGAGCACUGUUUGGACGAGGGGCCCCUCUCGGGUUACCGAAUUCAGACAAACUCCGAAUGCCAAUUAAUUUAACUUGGGAGUCAGAACAUGGGUGAUAAGGUCCGUGUUCGAAAGGGAAACAGCCCAGACCACCAGCUAAGGUCCCAAAAUAUAUGUUAAGUGGAAAAGGAUGUGGCGUUGCCCAGACAACUAGGAUGUUGGCUUAGAAGCAGCCAUCAUUUAAAGAGUGCGUAAUAGCUCACUAGUCGAGUGACACUGCGCCGAAAAUGUACCGGGGCUAAACAUAUUACCGAAGCUGUGGAUUGUCCUUUGGACAAUGGUAGGAGAGCGUUCUAAGGGCGUCGAAGCAUGAUCGCAAGGACAUGUGGAGCGCUUAGAAGUGAGAAUGCCGGUGUGAGUAGCGAAAGACGGGUGAGAAUCCCGUCCACCGAUUGACUAAGGUUUCCAGAGGAAGGCUCGUCCGCUCUGGGUUAGUCGGGUCCUAAGCUGAGGCCGACAGGCGUAGGCGAUGGAUAACAGGUUGAUAUUCCUGUACCACCUAGUAUCGUUUUAAUCGAUGGGGGGACGCAGUAGGAUAGGCGAAGCGUGCUGUUGGAGUGCACGUCCAAGCAGUAAGGCUGAGUGUUAGGCAAAUCCGGCACUCAUAAGGCUGAGCUGUGAUGGGGAGAGGAAAUUGUUUCCUCGAGUCGUUGAUUUCACACUGCCGAGAAAAGCCUCUAGAUAGAUAACAGGUGCCCGUACCGCAAACCGACACAGGUAGUCAAGAUGAGAAUUCUAAGGUGAGCGAGCGAACUCUCGUUAAGGAACUCGGCAAAAUGACCCCGUAACUUCGGGAGAAGGGGUGCUCUUUAGGGUUCACGCCCAGAAGAGCCGCAGUGAAUAGGCCCAAGCGACUGUUUAUCAAAAACACAGGUCUCUGCUAAACCGUAAGGUGAUGUAUAGGGGCUGACGCCUGCCCGGUGCUGGAAGGUUAAGAGGAGUGGUUAGCUUCUGCGAAGCUACGAAUCGAAGCCCCAGUAAACGGCGGCCGUAACUAUAACGGUCCUAAGGUAGCGAAAUUCCUUGUCGGGUAAGUUCCGACCCGCACGAAAGGCGUAACGAUUUGGGCACUGUCUCAACGAGAGACUCGGUGAAAUCAUAGUACCUGUGAAGAUGCAGGUUACCCGCGACAGGACGGAAAGACCCCGUGGAGCUUUACUGUAGCCUGAUAUUGAAAUUCGGCACAGCUUGUACAGGAUAGGUAGGAGCCUUUGAAACGUGAGCGCUAGCUUACGUGGAGGCGUUGGUGGGAUACUACCCUAGCUGUGUUGGCUUUCUAACCCGCACCACUUAUCGUGGUGGGAGACAGUGUCAGGCGGGCAGUUUGACUGGGGCGGUCGCCUCCUAAAAGGUAACGGAGGCGCUCAAAGGUUCCCUCAGAAUGGUUGGAAAUCAUUCAUAGAGUGUAAAGGCAUAAGGGAGCUUGACUGCGAGACCUACAAGUCGAGCAGGGUCGAAAGACGGACUUAGUGAUCCGGUGGUUCCGCAUGGAAGGGCCAUCGCUCAACGGAUAAAAGCUACCCCGGGGAUAACAGGCUUAUCUCCCCCAAGAGUUCACAUCGACGGGGAGGUUUGGCACCUCGAUGUCGGCUCAUCGCAUCCUGGGGCUGUAGUCGGUCCCAAGGGUUGGGCUGUUCGCCCAUUAAAGCGGUACGCGAGCUGGGUUCAGAACGUCGUGAGACAGUUCGGUCCCUAUCCGUCGUGGGCGUAGGAAAUUUGAGAGGAGCUGUCCUUAGUACGAGAGGACCGGGAUGGACAUACCUCUGGUGUACCAGUUGUCGUGCCAACGGCAUAGCUGGGUAGCUAUGUAUGGACGGGAUAAGUGCUGAAAGCAUCUAAGCAUGAAGCCCCCCUCAAGAUGAGAUUUCCCAACUUCGGUUAUAAGAUCCCUCGAAGAUGACGAGGUUAAUAGGUUCGAGGUGGAAGCGUGGUGACACGUGGAGCUGACGAAUACUAAUCGAUCGAAGACUUAAUCAAUUUUUAAA
rnacentral:rRNA from 1 species